GGCACGAUGUCGGAGUGGUUAACGAGUGAGACUUGAAUUCCAAGAAUUUCCUAAUUCUUGUGUAAGGUGAUCUCAUGCCUUCGGGCGCGCAGGUUCGAAUCCUGCUCGUGUCG